GAUAUAGCUCAGUUGGUAGAGUGUUUGCCUUUCAUGGACAUGGCCCUGGGUUUAAUCCCCAGCA
rnacentral:tRNA from 1 species